rnacentral:rRNA from 1 species
GCAAACUGCGAAUACCGGAGAAUGUUAUCACGGGAGACACACGGCGGGUGCUAACGUCCGUCGUGAAGAGGGAAACAACCCAGACCGCCAGCUAAGGUCCCAAAGUCAUGGUUAAGUGGGAAACGAUGUGGGAAGGCCCAGACAGCCAGGAUGUUGGCUUAGAAGCAGCCAUCAUUUAAAGAAAGCGUAAUAGCUCACUGGUCGAGUCGGCCUGCGCGGAAGAUGUAACGGGGCUAAACCAUGCACCGAAGCUGCGGCAGCGACGCUUAUGCGUUGUUGGGUAGGGGAGCGUUCUGUAAGCCUGCGAAGGUGGCCUGUGAGGGUUGCUGGAGGUAUCAGAAGUGCGAAUGCUGACAUAAGUAACGAUAAAGCGGGUGAAAAGCCCGCUCGCCGGAAGACCAAGGGUUCCUGUCCAACGUUAAUCGGGGCAGGGUGAGUCGACCCCUAAGGCGAGGCCGAAAGGCGUAGUCGAUGGGAAACGGGUUAAUAUUCCCGUACUUGGUGUUACUGCGAAGGGGGGACGGAGAAGGCUAUGUUGGCCGGGCGACGGUUGUCCCGGUUUAAGCGUGUAGGCUGGUUUUCCAGGCAAAUCCGGAAAAUCAAGGCUGAGGCGUGAUGACGAGGCACUACGGUGCUGAAG